rnacentral:rRNA from 1 species
AGUGAACGCUGGCGGGAUGCUUAACACAUGCAAGUCGAACGGCAGCGCGGAAUGCGGUCUCGCGUCGGGUGGCGGACGGGCGGGUGGUGUAUGAAAACGUCCCCAUCAACGGUGUAGAAGUGCGCAACGGCGGAGCACAUACCGCAUACGCGCUAACGGGGUACGGGGGAAAGCGUAAGAUCUUCCGCCCUUGCGCGGGCGAAUGUGCCGAUGUCGGAUUAGCUAGUUGGCGGGGUAACGGCCCACCAAGGCGACGAUCCGUAGCUGGUCUGAGAGGACGAUCAGCCACACUGGAACUGAGACACGGCCCAGACUCCUACGGGAGGCAGCAGUGGGGAAUUUUGGACAAUGGGCGCAAGCCUGAUCCAGCCAUCCCGCGUGUGCGAAGAAGGCCUUCGGGUUGUAAAGCACUUUUGGCAGGAAAGAAACGCCGCAGGCUAAUACCCCGUGGAACUGACGGUACCCAAAGAAUAAGCACCGGCUAACUACGUG